UUAAGUUCAGCGGGUAGUCCUACCUGAUUUGAGGUCAAGUUUGUCAAAAGCACAAAAAUAUGUGCGGUUUAGAAGCAGCACAUUGUGGCAUAACCAAAGGCAUAGACAGUAUUUAUCACACCUAGCGGUUUUCCACUCCAGAUACCACUAAUGCAUUUCAGGGGAGCAGGGCUCUCUGAGAAGAAAGCCGGCAACCCCCA
rnacentral:misc_RNA from 1 species